AUCUGUGAUGCGAGCCUAUCAUCUUGACUCCCAGCAUUGUGAUCGAGGAAGCCGCUGACGAGAGGAAGAGCUGAUGAGAGCCUGGAGGUUGCUCAACGGACGAGAGGGCGCCUUCUCGCUGGUUGAGGGCUUCUGGCCCUCACCUGCCAAAGUGUGAGAAUCUUUCACUGGUUUAUCUAACACAUGAGUAUUAGUCCCUGUCGUGUGCCAAGCGCCCUUGCCGGGCGGCGGACUGGCGCUGCCGCCAAACUGAGAACAAACGAAGAGGAACCCCGCCGGCUUCCAAAGCGCACGACACCCCGGAAUCCCCCCGCCCUCCGGCUGCUCCUCAGAGGGGCGUGGCCGAACGUGCGGGCGGGGGCGGGGCCUGUCGCCCGGGAAACCACGGGCAAAGCUUCAGUGCUCUUACAGGCCCCCGUUUCGGUUGAACUGUUGCAGGUGGUCGCCCUGGGCCGUUGCUGACCCCGAACGCCAGUGGGGGAAGAAGGGUCUCUGAGGCUCAGGUGCACCGAGGCCCCAGCCGCCCUUUGCGACGCCGCCGCGGGCUUCGGGAACAAUAGAUGUGGUUUGGGUUGGUUUUGCCCAGACCUGGUGGUGCCUCAAGUCAGGGUGGCCCACAGGCCCGGCCCUAAUCUCCUACGUCUCGAAGUCUACGUGCCCCUCGUCUGGAGAAGCAGAAGCGCGGACGCCGGAAAGAGCCGCUGCUGGCCGUGGGGAAGAAAGUUCUCUCUUCAUCCUCGGCCUGGGCCGCCCAAGUAAGGGUCUUUGAAGAAUGUGCAAAAUGUGGAAAUGCUACACCUCUGAGGGCAACAAUGUUUGGUUCCUUGCCUAAGGAGAGAAACAGCCCUUCCCUGAGGUGUUGGAUGAACCACAGCUUCAUCAUUUGAAUCCCAGCAAGAGCAAAAGGAAGAAAACAAACCAGUCACUAUCUCAAAGAUGCUGUCCUGCCAU